AAGUCGUAACAAGGUUUCCGUAGGUGAACCUGCGGAAGGAUCAUUUCCAAAAAGCAAAAUUGUGCCACACAAUACAAUAUAUACACCUUUUGGUGUGUGAAAUGUAAAGGAAUUGGUAUCUUAUCAAUUUUACUCUCUUCUAAUGUGCCUUGUAUCGCGUAUACAGGCAUUUAGAUAGAGAGGCCUUGAUGAACCCACAUCUUUGAAGAGCUUUCUACAUUUUUAAUAAUGUAAAAAGUACUCUGAAAGGACGUUAACAAAAAGUCUCGAUAUGUUUCCAAGUAAAUAAAGAGGAAGGAGGUUGAUGGACUUGUGUAGUAUCUUGUAUACCACAAUACAUCCAACUAACUACUCUAUACACUAGUAAAUAUACAGACAACUUUUAACGGUGGAUCUCUUGGCUCGU
rnacentral:misc_RNA from 1 species